AACGAACGCUGGCGGCAUGCCUAACACAUGCAAGUCGAACGGGAUCCGAACUUCGGUUCGGUGAGAGUGGCGGACGGGUGAGUAACGCGUGGGAACCUGCCCAGUGGUGGGGGAUAACUGCGGGAAACUGCAGCUAAUACCGCAUGAGCCCGAGAGGGGAAAGAUUUAUCGCCAUUGGAGGGGCCCGCGUUCGGUUAGGUAGUUGGUGAGGUAAUGGCUCACCAAGCCGACGAUCGAUAGCUGGUCUGAGAGGAUGAUCAGCCACACUGGGACUGGGAUACGGCCCAGACUCCUACGGGAGGCAGCAGUGGGGAAUAUUGGACAAUGGGGCAACCCUGAUCCAGCAAUGCCGCGUGAGUGAUGAAGGCCUUCGGGUUGUAAAGCUCUUUUGGCGGGGACGAUGAUGACGGUACCCGCAGAAUAGGCCCCGGCUAACUUCGUGCCAGCCGCCGCAGUAAAAC
rnacentral:rRNA from 1 species